rnacentral:misc_RNA from 1 species
AUGCGACCAGCAUCAUAUUUUAUGUUUGAUAAUGCUUCCUUAACACACUCGCACACAGCUAUCCUAUCUUCUUCGGUUUUCACAAGGUUAGCAAGUUCUUUCACUCCACUACAACAAGCGGGUGAAGGUUCGUCUCUUUUGUCCUGUACAUAAUCCAGGCAUGGAGUUAAUGAAGCAAUCACUUUGGAGCACACAAUUUGUAAUGGCACAGAUAUAGCUGGUUUUGAAACAAGUAAGAGUAGGAUUAAUAGCCCAGCCAGGCGAAUCAUGGUCUCUG